CAGAUCCAACCCUAAUCAAACACACCUGAACCAGCUAAUCAAGGUCUGAGGGUGUCUAGAAAGCUGCAGUGCGUUCCUGACUAUGUUAAAAGUGGAUUCUCCUGGAAAAUCAACCGCUGCUGAGUAAUGCAGGAGCCUCCAUCCUCGUGUGCAGACCUGACUCACGAAGUGGUUUGGCACCUCCAUAGUCCCAGAGCUGAAGCUGCUGUCCGCUCCUCUUUGGCUGAACUGAGACCUUGAUUCUACCAGAGGACAUGACUUCACUUUCUUCCAGACCACACACUAAACAUGUUUGCUUUCUGUUAGCUGGGAUCUUUGAGUUGGAUGUGUUAUCCUUUACAUGGAGUUCUUCGGUAUUUACCUAAAUAAGCCUCAUGU